AAGUGUUUUAUGCUAUAAGGAUUCUAAAAGCAACUCAUUAGAUUUUUGAAGGAGAUUUUUUUGAUAGUAGUUAAAUAGUUAUUUAGUGAUUCUCAUCUACUUCAAUAAGAUCACUAGGAAAUAAGUAGAUUUCUAUAAUCUUUCGAGAUCAUACAUGUUUAUAAAGAAUCUAACAAUGCUGCAGAUUGGAUGGUGACAUGUGGAUGAUCAUACCAGAUCUACACUAUGGACAGAUAUUUCAACUGAAUCUUUCAAUAUUUUAUUUUCCAAUUUUUAUAGUUAUAUUUAUUCUAAAUUGGUUUAAUAAAUUUGAUUUACCCAAAAAAAAAUCAGAAAUCUUAAUUAAACAUUCAUAUGUACCCAAGUUUCCUUUUUUAA
rnacentral:lncRNA from 1 species